rfam:Triticum aestivum genome assembly, contig: Triticum_aestivum_CS42_TGACv1_scaffold_251601_3DL
AUAGUACUCCCUCCGUCUGAAAAUACUUUCAUCAAAAAGAACAAAAAGAGAUGUAUCUAGACGUAUUUUAGUUCUAGAUACAUCCCUUUUUAUUCAUUUUGAUGACAAUUAUUUUCGGACGGAGGGAGUAGGUG